ACAGAGGGUGCGAGCGUUAAUCGGAAUUACUGGGCGUAAAGCGUGCGUAGACGGUUAUUUAAGUCAGAUGUGAAAGCCCCGGGCUCAACCUGGGAAUUGCAUUUGAGACUGAAUAGCUAGGGUACGGUAGAGGGAAGUGGAAUUUCCGGUGUAGCGGUGAAAUGCGUAGAUAUCGGAAGGAACAUCAGUGGCGAAAGCGACUUCCUGGACCAGUACCGACGUUCAGGCACGAAAGCGUGGGGAGCAAACAGGAUUAGAUACCCUGGUAGUCCACGCCAUAAACGAUGAGGACUAGACGUUGGAGGCGUAAGGCUUUCAGUGUCGUAGCUAACGCGCUAAGUCCUCCGCCUGGGGAGUACGGCCGCAAGGUUG
rnacentral:rRNA from 1 species